AACGCACCUUGCGCUCCCUGGUAUUCCGGGGAGCAUGCCUGUUUGAGUGUCGUGAAAUCAUCAUGGUCAUGAUCUUUAAUUAAUCAUGGCUUGGUUUUGGAGGUUAUGUUGGCUUUUUAUUAAGUUGACUCCUCUUAAAUACAUUAGCUCAGUGUUUAAUGCUUAGAGCGGUUCACGGUGUGAUAAUUAUCUACACUUCAACCAAUUUAAGUUAGCUGGCUUCUAAUCGAUCCUUAGUGAUCGCUUCGGUGUGAUAAUUAUCUGCGCCGUAGUCGUGAAGUAUUAAUAAAAGUUCUCGCUUCUAAUCGUCCUUCACGGGACAAUUAACCCUGACUUUUUGACCUCAAAUCAGGUAGGACUACCCGCUGAACUUAA
rnacentral:rRNA from 1 species